AUAUUUAGUCUUUUUAAUUGAAAAUAAUGAGUUUUAUCUCCCUGGAAACAAAUCCUUUGUUUGUCAGACACUGAACAGAUUCUCAUGCAUAGCACUGGCGGGUGUGGCAGCUGAGUAUCUUUUAUAUGGAAUUGCUGAGGGAGGCCUUGCUGACAUUAACAAGUUGGACAUGCUACUCAAAAGCUUGGCCUUCACACAGAAGAAAGCGGAUUCCCAAGUUAGAUGGUUUGUACUGAAUACAGUCCUACUUUUGAGGCGCCAUGAAUUAGCACGAGCUAAGCUUGCAAAGGCCAUGUCCAUGGGAAAGUCUGUAGGAACUUGCAUUGGCAUUAUAGAGGAGACCAUAGACGAUUCCGACAUCCAGCUUCAACUGGGUAAGUGGAGGUUGAGGAAUUCAAGCUCCAUUUACAUUUUUUUCCUUCUAAUUUUCUCUUAGGUAGUGAAUUUGAAAAGGGUAGAACAAGUGAAAGAUUUGUGAUACAAGAAGAAGGCAGUAACUCAAUGCACGAAUUUCUUUGAAAUUUUUUA